rnacentral:rRNA from 1 species
CCUACGGGAGGCUGCAGUGGGGAAUAUUGCACAAUGGGGGAAACCCUGAUGCAGCGACGCCGCGUGAGUGAAGAAGUUUUUCGGUAUGUAAAGCUCUAUCAGCAGGGAAGAAGAAAGACGGUACCUGACUAGGACGCCCCGGCUAACUACGUGCCAGCAGCCGCGGUAAUCCGUAGGGGGCAAGCGUUAUCCGGAAUUACUGGGGGUAAAGGGAGCGUAGACGGGUGUGCAAGUCUGAAGUGAAAGCCCAGGGCUCAACCCUGGGACUGCUUUGGAAACUGUGGAGCUUGAGUGCUGGAGAGGUAAGUGGAAUUCCUAGUGUAGCGGUGAAAUGCGUAGAUAUUAGGAGGAACACCAGUGGCGAAGGCGGCUUACUGGACAGUAACUGACGUUGAGGCUCGAAAGCGUGGGGAGCAAACAGGAUUAGAUACCCUAGUAGUC